rnacentral:rRNA from 1 species
UACGAAGGGGGCUAGCGUUGCUCGGAAUCACUGGGCGUAAAGCGCACGUAGGCGGGUUGUUAAGUCGGGGGUGAAAUCCUGGAGCUCAACUCCAGAACUGCCUUCGAUACUGGCGACCUUGAGUCCGGGAGAGGUGAGUGGAACUCCGAGUGUAGAGGUGAAAUUCGUAGAUAUUGGGAAGAACACCGGUGGCGAAGGCGGCGACCUGGUCCAUUACUGACGCUGAGGCGCGACAGCGUGGGGGAGCAAACAGG